rnacentral:lncRNA from 1 species
GCAGGGAGUGUCUUAAUGCCCUCCUUACCUCUGCAGUUCUCUACAAGAGCUACAAGAACAAAUUCUCACAACCUUGUGGUCUGGAGCAACAGUGAUUCUUUCCCUCAUAGUUCUGAAAGCCGGAAGUUGGCAGUUGGAUCCCAUUGCAGGUUCUAAAGGAAGGUAUGUUCUGGCCACUCCUAGCUUCCAGUAGCUGCUGGCCAUUGCCUGGGCAUUCGUAGGCCUGUAAUGGGUCCCAGUGUCCUGAUUUCUGCUCCUGUUUUCCAUGGCCCUCCCUCUGCCUCUCUUCAUCCCCAGCUCUGUUCAUAAGGACACCUGCCCUUGGAUUUAGGAACUGCUGUAAUGUCAUCCAGCAUGACCUCAUCGUAACUCAUUACAUCUCAAAGCUGUGUUUCCAUGUAUGGUCACAUUCUGACCAUGAUCACAGGUGAACAUGACAUUUGGAAGGACGAUGUUCAACCUAGUAACAACUCUAAGGCUUAGCUCAAGCAUACGAAGGCAUCAAGAAGUUUUGCUCCUGCCACACCCUGCACAGGCACUGACAAGGAGAUGGAUGGAGACUGUUAUAGCAGGCAACACACUGGAGACAAAGCACUUGGAAGAGAUCAUUCUGAUAGCAGAAGCAAAGGAGUCUCGGGCAAUCUCAGCAUAGUACAGAGGAUGUGCAGGUGUCUUGGAAUGGAAGAAUGGGAGGGGUGCUGCUUGGCCUUCAGGCCCAACCUGCACAUCCCCAAAAGUGGCAAUAGGAGACCAGGCCAGAAGCCAUAGGAGCCAGCAGAGGCUUCAGGAAUGUGGCCACAGCAUCACUUUCAACUUGGCCCUAGCCUUCCUGACUGUAUGAGCCAAGAAAGCAAAUUAAUCUCUCUGAGCCUAUUUCCUAACCUAUAAAUUGGGGAUAAUAACAGGAAACUGACCCAGAAUGAGGAUGACAUGAGAUGCUCAUUUGGGUGAGGCACUGGCUCAACAACGGAAACCACUGUUACCCUACAGAUGCCUGACAAAUGGCUUAACAUGCAUCUCCUCUGUUUCUGAGCACUCUAUGGCUCCCCAGUGUCACAGCAUUUCUGCCAAGCCCCU